CGAGAUAUCGCGCUGCUUCCAGGGUAUUUAUGUAGCCACCUGUUGAUUGGGUGCUAUAUACAGUACUUCACUCACUCAAUCAUCUCGCGCCCCGCACGGCAGUCGAAUUGGACUCAGUCAGUCAACGGUCGAGGAGCGAUACAGGAAAAAGAGCUUGUUUAAGUUGGGAGCUUGAGUCGGACAGCAAACCAAGCACUCGUUUCGCAGUGGUCGCCAGCCGUUGUAGGUACUCAAUGACGACAGCUAGAUACAACCUACGGGAUAACACUUAUCACGGAGUAACAUGCUCAUAACCAUACUGCUAUUCCCCAAUGGCCUCCCUCAUCCGGUGACGCUGGUGGACGAGAGGGAAACAUGAGGACGAAAGCAAGAAAGCAUAAGGCGCAUUAGCAGCCACUUUCCAGAGGUGGUUUCCGGUAGUCGAUCCAGGAGAACAGCUCUGAAGCCAGCCAUAUCUGGAGCCCUGCGAUGAGUUUGGGAGAUUGAACGUGCAACACCGUUAUAUUUGGUCCGGGGUGCAAGAGAGCAUCUUCUAUUAACAAGAAGAAGAAGAAGAAGAAGGAUAAUAAUUCUGUGAAGGGCAGACUCCCAAGUACUACUAGCCAUAUAAUUGAAUGAGCAACGAGAUUAUUAUUAUUAUUCUUCCAAUUAGGGCAUAUUCAGUCAGAGACUAUGACACUCAUCUGAGUAUUGCUCAAGGUUUUUCUAGUACUAAUAGCUUGCAAUACAGAAUUCCAACCCAGAAUCAAUCAACAAUUAA
rnacentral:sRNA from 1 species